rnacentral:rRNA from 1 species
AUUGAACGCUGGCGGCAGGCCUAACACAUGCAAGUCGAGCGGAUGAAGGGGGCUUGCUCCUGGAUUCAGCGGCGGACGGGGGGGUAAUGCCUAGGAAUCUGCCUUGUAGUGGGGGAUAACGUCCGGAAACGGGCGCUAAUACCGCAUACGUCCUGAGGUAGAAAGUGGGGGAUCUUCGGACCUCACGCUAUCAGAUGAGCCUAGGUCGGAUUAGCUAGUUGGUGGGGUAAAGGCCUACCAAGGCGACGAUCCGUAACUGGUCUGAGAGGAUGAUCAGUCACACUGGAACUGAGACACGGUCCAGACUCCUACGGGAGGCAGCAGUGGGGAAUAUUGGACGAUGGGCGAAAGCCUGAUCCAGCCAUGCCGCGUGUGUGAAGAAGGUCUUCGGAUUGUAAAGCACUUUAAGUUGGGAGGAAGGGCAGUAAGUUAAUACCUUGCUGUUUUGACGGUACCAACAGAAUAAGCACCGGCUAACUUCGUG